UCACAAAACUUACAAAUUUCACCCUCUUAAACCUUCUAUUUUGUAUAGCUCUUUUUUUUUGCGGCUGAGGCUUAGUUUAGUAUUGAUGUUCAUCUGACGUUAUUAGAUAAAAUAGAGUUGGGGUAAAAGCAUAUAGGGAUAUCUUUCUACGUUUUACUGUGGGAUCAUAAAAAUAUAUUGUAACUUAUCGCAACAUACGGAAUGCAAUAUUAUGUAUGAAAAUAAAUAGAGUUUUUUUAUUGUACUUUUUCACCGCACAUAACGUAAUUUUCUCACAAUUCGAAAUGAAACCC
rnacentral:lncRNA from 1 species